UAGGGAAUCUUCCACAAUGGACGAAAGUCUGAUGGAGCAACGCCGCGUGAGUGAAGAAGGGUUUCGGCUCGUAAAACUCUGUUGUUAAAGAAGAACAUAUCUGAGAGUAACUGUUCAGGUAUUGACGGUAUUUAACCAGAAAGCCACGGCUAACUACGUGCCAGCAGCCGCGGUAAUACGUAGGUGGCAAGCGUUGUCCGGAUUUAUUGGGCGUAAAGCGAGCGCAGGCGGUUUUUUAAGUCUGAUGUGAAAGCCUUCGGCUCAACCGAAGAAGUGCAUCGGAAACUGGGAAGCUUGAGUGCAGAAGAGGACAGUGGAACUCCAUGUGUAGCGGUGAAAUGCGUAGAUAUAUAGAAGAACACCAGUGGCGAAGGCGGCUGUCUGGUCUGUAACUAACGCUGAGGCUCGAAAGUAUGGGUAGCAAACAGG
rnacentral:rRNA from 1 species